rnacentral:tRNA from 1 species
GUCCUGGUGGCACAGUGGUUGGGCAUUUGGCUGCUAACCAAAAGUUUGGCAGUUCUAAUCUACUCCUUGAAA